GAACCCAGCCAUCGGUUCCUCCCUGGCUUAAGUUGGUCCAAUUAUAAUUGGUUCCAGUAUAUAAAUGAGUCGUUGUCAUAUUAAGUGUCUCUCUAGUGUUAUAAAUAGCAGACAGAUGCAUAUUGCCCAUUUUUUUGAAAUGUUGUUAGAUUACAACCUCUAUGGCCAUGCUGAAAAGCUCAAUUUGGUGAAAGGGUUUGUUUGUUUUUCUGGGAACAGAGUAAGGAUAAGGAAAUAAUUAACUUUAAAAAGUCAACUGAGAAAGAAUAAAUAAAUUGAACGAUUGAACUUUGGAGCAUAAAUUCCAUGCAAAGUUCACUUUUUCUUUCAGAUACUGUAGCUGACCAUUUACAGUAAAUAAGAAACUAGUAAUAUCUUACCCCUGAAACAGGGACUUUGUCUAGUCAAGAAGCAUAAUGGUAAAUGGGUGGCUUCUACCAGAGGAUUCGGGGCACAGCUAACAUAAACCAUUAUGCAAAGCACACAGCAAUUAUAUAUAAGAAAAACAUGAAGUAUGUAUAUUAAAAAGGUAUAUUGUAUAUAUAAACAAUUGGCAGCACUGAAAAUGGGGAAGGGGCAUUGUUUUGUUUCUAUAUUGAGAAAAAACUCAUAGUACUACAGCUUUGUUUAUAUUGAUUUAGUAAUUCUGCUAAUAGAAGCUAAUAUCACUGAGCUAGUACUGUGAUUCCCACUUCACAGAUGAAGAAGUCUGAGACAGGAAGAGAAAACACUACAGUGGAGAGCCAUGCUCAAGGCCUGCUCUGCCCACCUGGCCAUCUUUGUUUCAGGAAGGAGCUAUUUCAGAGUCAGAAGUCCACCUUCGAGCACCCCCGAGAGGUGUGCAGCAUCAAUGUUGGAGAGCAAGGAGCCCACCUUACCUUUCAGCCAGUAUUCGUCAAACUUGAGCAUACGGAGAAGGCAGGUAUGUCACUGGGGUGUUCUGAUUAAUUUACAAAGAUUGAGUUUCAAAGCUCUAAAAACCCGUGUGGUGGUGGUGAAGAGUAUACCACAUUUUGCCAAGGGGGUCUUCUCAUCUCUUGAGGCUUGGCACUGCCACUUUUCCAUUAGGCUUUAA
rnacentral:lncRNA from 1 species